UAGAUGAAGACUACUAUUAUUUUGCAAAUGAAGUUAACAUGUCUGGCAAAUUAUAUCAAACAGUAAAUUGGCUGAAAAUUAAUCAACAAAUGGGAGGUGAAAAAUAGAUUGCCUUGAAAUAGAAAUAACAACUAACAAAAACUAAGACAAUAGGACAGAUCAUUCCCUACAAAGUUGUCAUUUGAUACAACAAACUUCCUAUAUCAGAAAAGCUUGAUACGAAGGCCUGUUGAAAUAAAACUUGAUGAAACUGAAUUUACGCAAAUCCUCUUCAAUAAUCUUCUGUUACAGCGAAUUCAAUGUUCUUUGUUAAUACGAGUAGUUCCCCACAGUUCAAUUGAAUCCUACAAUUUAUUGACCUGAAAAGCUCGGAAGGAAACCCACCUGGAAUUGAAUUUGGGGACCUUGAAUUGAUGCUUGGUUAGAAUUUGAAUGCCCAGAGAGAUUAUUGGAUGAAACGUCUGAGCAUGAAAUUGUGUAGUAAUAUCCCAUAAAUAUUGCAAGAAUUCAUUUAGCAGCAAUCUUGUUACUUUUUUCUGUUGUGCUAUUUUAAGAAUUAUUCAGUAGCCAGUAUUUUUUCGAAUGCAUUCACAUUCUUGGGCACAUCUCUAAUUUACCCUUGAUCAAAUUCAUACCAAAUAAACUAAAUUUCUUUUCUUUUUUCUUUCAAAAAAUAAAAUAAAAUUGAAGAUUAUUGUAAGAUAUAUUUCUUGUUUGAUCCUAAUUUUUUUGGAACUCAUUUUUAUAAACUAAUUUUUAACCGGACAUUUCAUGGGACUACAACUUUUUAACUAUUUAUUUUAUCGACUUAUAUCAAAAUCUAUUAAAAUUUUGACUUUUUUCAUUUCAUAUUUAUUUACC
rnacentral:lncRNA from 1 species